rnacentral:rRNA from 1 species
UUAACAAGCUCGUAGUUGAAUUUCGGGAUUAGUACGUUGGUCGUGCCAUAGGUACGUACUGAUGUUACUGGUUCCUACCUUCUGACGAACCAUCAUGUCAUUAAUUUGGUGUGGCGGGGAAUCAGGACUGUUACUUUGAAAAAAUUAGAGUGUUUAAAGCAGGCUCGCGCUUGAAUACAUUAGCAUGGAAUAAUGAAAUAGGACGUUGACCCUAUUUUGUUGGUUUCUAGGAUUGACGUAAUGAUUAAUAGGGAUAGUUGGGGG